GCGGCAGAAGCUGAAUUUGAGAAAAUGAAGCACCCGUUUCCUUACAUCCACCCUGAUAGCCCAGAGGGCAGCAAAUGGGAGAGAAACAUUCCUCCUCCUCCCCACCUGCUUCAUAUGCUCCCAUGGGAAGAAGAAUGGCACAAAGAGAUGACAGAGUGGGCAGAAGGCAAGGAUUAGAUCCUCUGAAAGUUGUCAGCAAAAUAAUGUUGUGUGAAAGAGUGCCACUCAUCUUAUCUGUGAUUGUAAAUUAAAGAGCAGCCAUUAUGGCAUCUCUCUAUCUUUGUAUUCAUGUCAUAACAUUCUACUGUGAAAAUUAUUUCUAUUUGUCUUGGCAUCAGAUUGAUGAAAGCUAUGUAAAAGUAAAUUAGCAUGUUCAGAUUGCUACAGUGUAAGGACUGUGAUUAAAGAAGGUUUUUUCACCUAAA